rnacentral:pre_miRNA from 1 species
UAAGUACUCCCUCCGUUCGGAAUUACUUGUGACAAAAAUGAAUGUAUCUACAACUAAAAUACAUCUAGAUACAUUCAUUUCUUGGACGAGUAAUUCCGAACGGAGGGAGUAGUUA